rnacentral:rRNA from 1 species
AACGAACGCUGGCGGCAGGCUUAACACAUGCAAGUCGAACGCUCCGCAAGGAGAGUGGCAGACGGGUGAGUAACGCGUGGGAACCUUCCUAUUGGUUCGGAAUAGCUCAGGGAAACUUGGGGUAAUACCGGAUAAGCCCCAUGGGGGAAAGAUUUAUCGCCAAUAGAUGGGCCCGCGUCUGAUUAGCUAGUUAGUGAGGU